GAAAGCGUGAUAAGGGUACCCUACGUGCUAGCUUAUAGUUAGCUUUUGCCAAGUGUAAAAAUCUUGGAGAAUAAGAGGUGGGCAAGACCGGUGCCAGCCGCCGCGGUAACCCCGGCGCCUCGAGUGGUGAUCAUAUUUAUUGGGUUUAAAGCAUCCGUAGCUGGUUAAGUCAGUUUUUGGUGAAAUUUAGCAGCUUAACUGUUAAGAAGGCUAAAAAUACUACUUAACUAGGGACCGGGAGGAGUCAGAGGAAUGUUGUGGGGAGCGGUAAAAUGUGUUAAUCCACGAUGGACCACCAGUGGCGAAGGCGUCUGACUAGAACGGAUCCGACAGUGAGGGAUGAAAGCUAGGGGAGCAAAUCGGAUUAGAUACCCGAGUAGUCCUAGCCGUAAACGCUGCCUGCAAGGUGCUGCAAUUUCUUCGUGUUUUUGCAGUGUCGAAGAGAAAUCGUUAAGCAGGCCACCUGGGAAGUACGGUCGCAAGGCUGAAACUUAAAGGAAUAGGCGGGGGGUCACAACAAGGGGUGGAUGUUGCGGUUUAAUUCAACAAUACGCGGGGAACCCUACCAGGGCCGACAGCAGUAUGAAGGUCAGUCUAAAUGGCUCACUUGACGCGCUGAGAGGUGGUGCAUGGCGGUCGUCAGCUCGUGCCAUGAGGUGUUCUGUUAAGUCAGAGAACGAGCGAGACCUGCGUCUUCAGUUGCUAUUAUUCUUUCCGGAGAAUAAGCACUCUGAAGAGACUGCAUUCGAAAGGAUGAGGAAGGUGCAGGCUACGGUACGUCUGUAUGCCCCGAAUGUCCUGGGCUACACGCGACAUACACUGGUUAGAACAACGGGUUGCUACUCCGAGAGGAGACGCUAAUCUCUUAAAGCUAAUCUGGUUCGAAUUGAGGGCUGUAACUCGCCCUCAUGAAGCCGAAAUCCCUAGUAAUCGUGUGUUAUUAACGCGCGGUGAAUAAGUCCCUGGCCCUUGCACUCACUGCCUGUCAAGUCAACCGAGCAGGGUUAUGAUGAGGAUCUAUUUUCGGGUAGGUUCAAAUCAUAGCUCAGUGAGGCGGAUUAAGUCAACACAAGGUAUCUGUAGGGGAACCUGCAGAUG
rnacentral:rRNA from 1 species